GGCGGGUUUGCAGAGCGGCCAAAUGCAGGUGACUGUAAAUCAUCUCCUUCGGGUUCGGGGGUUCGAAUCCCUCACCCGCCA
rnacentral:tRNA from 1 species